AGAGUUUGAUCCUAGCUCAGGAUGAACGCUGGCGACGUGGAUCAGGCAUGCAAGUCGUACGGUCAUACUCCUUCGGGUGUAUGAUAGUGGCGAACGGGUUAGUAAUGCGUAGAUAUCACCCCUUCACUCAGGCAUAACUUGGAGAAAUCCAAGAUAAUUCCUGAUGGUCCGAGAAAUCGGUAAAGGUUUUCCGGUGAAGGACGAGUCUACGUCCUAUCAGCUAGUUGGUGAGGUAAAAGCUUACCAAGGCUAUGACGGGUAGGCGGAGUGAGAGCUUGUCCGCCAACAAUGGCACUGAGAUACGGGCCAUACUCCUACGGGAGGCAGCAGUCGAGAAUAUUGCACAAUGGGGGAAACCCUGAUGCAGCGACGUCGCGUGCGGGAUGAAGAUCUUCGGAUUGUAAACCGCUUUUCUGUGGGAAGAAUUUUUGACGGUACCAUAGGAAUAAGGGGUGACUAAACUCGUGCCAGCAGUAGCGGUAAUACGAGUGCCCCAAGCGUUAUCCGGAUUUAUUGGGCGUAAAGAGUCUGUAGGCGGUUCAUUAAGUUCUUCGUUAAAUCUUCAGGGCUUGACCUUGAAGCUGCGGGGAAAACUGAUGGACUAGAGGAUGUUAGAGGCUGAUAGAACACUCGGUGGAGGGGUGGAAUCCGUUGAUAUCGAGUGGAAUACCAAAAGCGAAGGCAAUCAGCUGGGGCAGUCCUGACGCUGAGAGACGAAAGCGUGGGGAGAGAAAAGGAUUAGAUACCCUUGUAUUCCACGCCCUAAACUUUGAACACUGGUCAUUGUAAGUGUCGACCCUUGCAGUGGCGAAGCUAACGCGUUAAGUGUUCCGCCUGGGAAGUACGGCCGCAAGGCUAAAACCCAAAGGAAUAGACGGGGACCUACACAAGCGGUGGAUCACGUGGCUUAAUUCGACAACAAGCGAGGAACCUUACCAGGGCUUGACAAACUAUUGAAGGCGCUUUGAAAAAUGCGCUUACCCGCAAGGGACAAUAGUCCAGGUGCUGCAUGGUCGUCAGCAGGUGGCUUGAGUUGCUCCCUUAAAUGGGGUAACCUGCGCAACCCUUGUCCUAUGUUUUAUAUGUCAUAGGAGACUGCCUAGGACGACUAGGAGGAAGGUGAGGAUGACGCCAAAUCAACAUGGCCUUUUGAUGCCCUGGGCUGCACACGUGAUACAAUGGAGCCGACAAUGGGAAGCGAAAGAGUAAUCUGGAGCUAAUCCUAUCAAACGGCCCCCCAAUACGGAUUGAGGUCUGAAACCCGACCUCAUGAAGCCGGAAUCGCUAGUAACCGCAGAUCAGCCAUGCUGCGGUGAAUAUGUCCCUGGGUCUUGUACUCACCGCCCGUCACGUCAAGCGAGUUGGGAAUGCCCGAAAUCCCGCAUUAGCGGGCCUAAGGUAGGCUCAAUGAGAGGGACGAAGUCGUAACAAGGCA
rnacentral:rRNA from 1 species